UACGUAGGGUGCGAGCGUUAAUCGGAAUUACUGGGCGUAAAGCGUGCGCAGGCGGUUUUGUAAGCCAGAUGUGAAAGCCCCGGGCUCAACCUGGGAAUGGCAGUGGAUACUGGCAAGCUAGAGUGCGGUAGAGGGGUGUGGAAUUCCCGGUGUAGCGGUGAAAUGCGUAGAGAUCGGGAGGAACACCAGUGGCGAAGGCGGCACCCUGGACCAGCACUGACACUGAGGCACGAAAGCGUGGGGAGCAAACAGG
rnacentral:rRNA from 1 species